UACGUAGGGGGCAAGCGUUGUCCGGAAUCAUUGGGCGUAAAGCGCGUGUAGGCGGCCCGGUAAGUCCGCUGUGAAAGUCGGGGGCUCAACCCUCGAAUGCCGGUGGAUACUGUCGGGCUAGAGUGCGGAAGAGGCGAGUGGAAUUCCGGGUGUAGCGGUGGAAUGCGUAGAGAUCGGGAAGAAUACCCGUGGCGAAGGCGGCCAGCUGGGCCAGGUCCGACACUGAGGCGCGAAAGCGUGGGGAGCAAACAGG
rnacentral:rRNA from 1 species